rnacentral:rRNA from 1 species
UGUAAGCGUAUACCAAAGUUGUUGCAGUUAAAACGCUCGUAGUCGGAAUUUGGCAGUUCCGGAUGUGUGCACGUCGUGUGCGCACUUCGCGGGGAUUGCUUUUGUGGUCUUGCGUAGGAUGAGGCACUUUUAUUAGUGAACGUCCUCACGCAACCACUUUUUACUGUGAGAAAAUCAGAGUGCUCAAAGCAGGCAUUUGCCGUGAAUGUAUUAGCAUUGAAUAAUAGAAUAGGACUUGGUUCUAUUUUGUUGGUUUGUUGGGACUGAGUAAUGAUUAAGAGGGACAGUUGGGGGCAUUUGUAUUUCGGUGCUAGAGGUGAAAUUCUUAGAUUACCGAAAGACAAACUGCUGCGAAAGCGUCUGCCAAGGAUGUUUUCAUUGA